UACAGAGGGUGCGAGCGUUGUUCGGAAUUAUUGGGCGUAAAGGGCGCGUAGGCGGCGCGGUAAGUCACCUGUGAAAUCUCCUGGCUCAACUGGGAGCUUGCAGGCGAAACUGCCGUGCUGGAGUGUGGGAGAGGUGCGUGGAAUUCCUGGUGUAGCGGUGAAAUGCGUAGAUAUCGGGAGGAACACCAGUGGCGAAGGCGGCGAUCUGGGAAGAUACUGACGCUGAGGUGCGAAAGCGUGGGGAGCAAACAGG
rnacentral:rRNA from 1 species